CCAAAAUUUUCUUUUGCACUUUGUCUGUCAAUUCAGUUACAGAUCGGGGACACAGCAAGGUUUUGUGAAUUUAUUUCGUUCUGGGUUCAAGUUGAAAACCGAAGAAAAGGGCGUUGAUCGCAAUUCAUGGAGAAUUCGAGUGACAGUGAUAGGGAAAUCAGACAAUUCCUUCCACUUCUUCGACAACAUCCUCCGAUGAUUACCAUUUGUUUGGUCUUCAAGGUUAUCUUCACCACUCUCUGGGUGGUGGUAAAGGGAUUUACAUGGUUCAUGAACCAAGCAGAUAAGCUAAAAUAAGGGAGAGUCAUGCAGAGAGUUAAUUGGGGAAGAGUGCAGAUCAAUUUGGUGCAUACAUAUGUGCGCUGAAAUCACCAUUUGACCAUUCAU